rnacentral:rRNA from 1 species
GACGAACGCUGGCGGCGUGCUUAACACAUGCAAGUCGAACGGAAAGGCCCUGCUUUUGUGGGGUGCUCGAGUGGCGAAAGGGUGAGUAACACGUGAGUAACCUGCCCUUUACUUUGGGAUAACUUCAGGAAACUGGGGCUAAUACCGGAUAGGAGCUCCUGCUGCAUGGUGGGGGUUGGAAAGUUUCGGCGGUUGGGGAUGGACUCGCGGCUUAUCAGCUUGUUGGUGGGGUAGUGGCUUACCAAGUCUUUGACGGGUAGCCGGCCUGAGAGGGUGACCGGCCACAUUGGGACUGAGAUACGGCCCAGACUCCUACGGGAGGCAGCAGUGGGGAAUAUUGCACAAUGGGCGGAAGCCUGAUGCAGCAACGCCGCGUGCGGGAUGACGGCCUUCGGGUUGUAAACAGCUUUCGCCUGUGACGAAGCGUGAGUGACGGUAAUGGGUAAAGAAGCACCGGCUAACUACGUG